UCCCGCAACAGCACUUCUUUCAGCCGUCCUAAACAGUAAACCCUAAUCAAGAAUCUAUCCAAGAACCUAACUAAACACGUAGGCCGCAACAUACAGAGAUUUAAGAAUCGGAGAUUCAAGCAUCUAUACAAGAAGCUGUUGUCUGCGAUUCAAAUUGAGUGUAUGACUGAAGUGCCUGUUCAGUACUUGUAUCUACACGCCAUCAUCUUUCAGGAUGCUUCAUGAAUCUAUGAAUUUAGGCCAUUUCUGGGCAAGGCUCCAGCUUCCACUCCUUCACCUUUAAAUCUAAAUUGCAGCAGCUGUAACGUAGAUCCUAUAGGUAUUACAGCCUGCGGAGUCCUGGUAACCGGUAAUUUUUCUCCUGUUCCUAUUCGUCUUUGUUGUAAAGCAUUGAGUCAGGUUUCAGCAAAAGAAGCAGAAGAUUGUCUUUGCAAUGCCGUUGAGACUGAGGCAAUGAAAACUGACAUAGUUGAUGUCCCAGCUGCUGUUCACACAGUCUUGACAGUAUGCAAAAAAAUAUGAUCAAUCAACGAUGAUACUUAUUGGUUUGUGAAUUUUAUUAAGACAAGGCCCAUGUAAAUGUUGAACUUGCAAUUGUCUUAUUGGUUUCAUACAAAAUGCAACAAAGAUUUUGCCA